rnacentral:tRNA from 1 species
ACCCAACCAGGAUCACCAUAUUAUGGUUGAAUAAAAUAAAGGUUUGUUUCAAUAACCUUUAUACAGUAUAGUUCGUU